CCCCUCUUAGGGUCACACCUGGAGAGUUUCCAAUACUCUGCCGGUCUCGACUACGGGAGGGAGAGUCAAGCAGAGGCAUUUCCAUUCCAUUCCUAGCUUGGGCAGCGGCUAGGGAGCGGAUGGCAAUCUGCUACAAGU